UACAGAGGUCUCGAGCGUUGUUCGGAUUCAUUGGACGUAAAGGGUGCGUAGGUGGCGCUGUAAGUCAGGUGUGAAAUUUCGGAGCUUAACUCCGAAACUGCAUUUGAUACUGCGGUGCUUGAGGACUGGAGAGGAGACUGGAAUUUACGGUGUAGCAGUGAAAUGCGUAGAGAUCGUAAGGAAGACCAGUGGCGAAGGCGGGUCUCUGGACAGUUCCUGACACUGAGGCACGAAGGCCCAGGGGGAGCAAACGGG
rnacentral:rRNA from 1 species